rnacentral:rRNA from 7 species
UAAUGUUUGAUGUUCUAACGUGGACCCGUGAUCCGGGUUGCGGACAGUGUCUGGUGGGUAGUUUGACUGGGGCGGUCUCCUCCUAAAGAGUAACGGAGGAGCACGAAGGUUGGCUAAUCCUGGUCGGACAUCAGGAGGUUAGUGCAAUGGCAUAAGCCAGCUUGACUGCGAGCGUGACGGCGCGAGCAGGUGCGAAAGCAGGUCAUAGUGAUCCGGUGGUUCUGAAUGGAAGGGCCAUCGCUCAACGGAUAAAAGGUACUCCGGGGAUAACAGGCUGAUACCGCCCAAGAGUUCAUAUCGACGGCGGUGUUUGGCACCUCGAUGUCGGCUCAUCACAUCCUGGGGCUGAAGUAGGUCCCAAGGGUAUGGCUGUUCGCCAUUUAAAGUGGUACGCGAGCUGGGUUUAGAACGUCGUGAGACAGUUCGGUCCCUAUCUGCCGUGGGCGCUGGAGAACUGAGGGGGGCUGCUCCUAGUACGAGAGGACCGGAGUGGACGCAUCACUGGUGUUCGGGUUGUCAUGCCAAUGGCACUGCCCGGUAGCUAAAUGCGGAAGAGAUAAGUGCUGAAAGCAUCUAAGCACGAAACUUGCCCCGA